rnacentral:rRNA from 1 species
UUAGGAUCCACUUGGUUGAUUCUGCCAGUAGUCAUAUGCUUGUCUCAAAGAUUAAGCCAUGCAUGUCUCAGUAUAAGCAACUUGUACGUGUGAAACUGCGAAUGGCUCAUUAAAUCAGUUAUAAUUUAUUUGAUAGUGGUAUUACUACAUGGAUAGCCGUAGUAAUUCUAGAGCUAAUACAUGCAAGAAGACCCGACUCGUGAGGGAAGGGUUGUAUUUAUUAGAUCGGAAAACCAACGCAGGGGGAUGGGGAUGAGCAAUCAUUAUCAUUUCCCGAAUGAAUGGUGAGUCAUGAUAAAUGUCGAAUCGAAUUUUACAUUCGAUGUGUCAUUCAAAUUUCUGCCCUAUCAACUUGUUGGUAGGAUAGAGGCCUACCAUGGUAUUGACGGGUAACGGAGGGAUUAGGGUUCGAUUCCGGAGAGGGAGCCUGAGAAAUGGCUACUACUUCUAAGGAAGGCAGCAGGCGCGCAAAUUACCCAAUCCCAAUUAUAUUGGGGAGGUAGUGACAAAAAAUACCGAUGCUGGGUCUAAAUAGAUUCAGUAAUUGGAAUGGUUUGGAAGCAAAUUGUCCAUAGAGCAGCCAUUAGAGGGCAAGUCUGGUGCCAGCAGCCGCGGUAAUUCCAGCUCUAAUAGUGUAUACUAAAAUUGCUGCAGUUAAAAAGCUCGUAGUUGGAUUUUGGAUGGAACAAGAUACCUUUAUGUUUUUUCUUGCCGUGCAUGUCUGUUAUGUAGCACACCUGUUUCUUGAGGUGGCUAUAUGACGUAUGUAUGGUCGUAAAGGUUGUUUCGUCCGUGUUUUUAGAAAACAAUUUUUCGGAAGUAUGUAAUCCCCUUAAUUGGGCGAUUGUAUAAUUUCGGAGGGUUUACUUUGAAGAAAUUGUAGUGUUUAAAGCAGGCGUUUCGCAGCUGAACACAUUAGCAUGGAAUAAUAAAAUAGGACAUCUGAGUUAGGUACCUACCUCAUUUCCCGCCAGCAAUCUUCCGGAUGUGUUUCUAAGUGGAGGGUGGGGUGAGGCAUCUGCUCUUUCAUGAUGCAUAUUGUUACGUUUUAUUUCGCUUCGUAUGUCUUCGGAUAUGUGGAGAGGGAGGGCAUGAUGGUGUGUAUUAUGGGAGGGAUUUGGUGUUCUUCCUCCUCUUCAUUUGGCUAGAAUGCAUUUGAGGUUGUUGGGUCACUUAGGGGUGAGGGGAUUUUUUAAUGGGCCUAGCUAUCAUUAGUAUAUCUAUUUUGUUGGUUUAUGGAGAAGGUGUAAUGAUUAAUAGGGACAGUUGGGGGCAUCCGUAUUGCAUUGUCAGAGGUGAAAUUCUUGGAUUUAUGCAAGACGAACUAGUGCGAAAGCAUUUGCCAAGGAUGUUUUCAUUAAUCAAGAACGAAAGUUAGGGGAUCGAAGGCGAUCAGAAACCGCCGUAGUCUUAACUAUAAACAAUACCAACUAGGGAUUGGUGAGCGUCACAUAAAGGCCUCGUCAGCACCUUUAGAGAAAUCAAAGUCUCUGGGUUCUGGGGGGAGUAUGGUCGCAAGGCURAAMCUUAAAGAAAUUGGCGGAAGGGCACCACCAGGUGUGGAGCCUGCGGCUUAAUUCGACUCAACACGGGGUAAACUCACCAGGUCCAGACACGGGAAGGAUUGACAGAUUGAUAGCUCUUUCUUGAUUCUGUGGGCUGGUGGUGCAUGGUCGUUCUUAGUUGGUGGAGUGAUUUGUCUGGUUAAUUCCGAUAACGAACGAGACCUUAACCUGCUAAAUAGCUCAGUCUCAAAAGUUUCCUUUUGAGGUUUUGGCAUCUUUUCUGGUCGUGGCGCUCUCGUGUCAUGGUCAGGAGGGGUGUUUCUUUGUAGAGCUUCUUAGAGGGACUACCAUGGUUGCACAUGGUGGAAGSYUGAGGCAAUAACAGGUCUGUGAUGCCCUUAGAUGUCCUGGGCCGCACGCGCGCUACAAUGAUGCAUUCAACGAGGUUGUGCUUGCCCGAAAGGGUUGGCUAAUCUUGAUCAAACUGNAUCGUACUGGGGAUUGAUCUUUGUAAUUUUGGAUCAUGAACUAGGAAUACCUAGUAAGUGCAUGUCAUCAGCAUGCGCUGAUUACGUCCCUGCCCUUUGCACACACCGCCCGUAAGCUUCCGA